UAAGCUCCACCAUAUCAACCAUCCUAGCAUUAACGACAUAGGAACCAACUUUGGUACUAUCCUCCCUAAGCUGUGUGAUAGUCUUGACUUCAUAGUUGUUUUUCAAAUUGAAUUCUAAUGACUUGUCGGUUAGGCAUAUGCCAAGCAGGGUUCAAACACGAUCAAGAGCGAGAACCAGACUGCACAGACAAAAAAGUUAACAACAUAAACUAUAUAUAAGAUUCUAUAACUUAGGAAAGCUUUAAAUGAACAAUAGGAAACCAAUACCCAGAUUUAAACUGCACAAUGCCUUAGGAAAAUCCGGGUUCACAAAGAGUUUGCUGAUUCCUUCAACACUUUGCACAAUAUUUCUACCUAAAAACAUAUGAGAUUAAAUAUUAAUAAGAUUUUGACUGGUUAGGUUCAACAAAAUUUCGUAUCAAACAAUAAUAUACAAAUAUUUAUUUUACAAAACUAACCUUGUGAUUUAGUGACUUUAGCAAACUGGAUAACAACCACAGGUAACCCAGCAGGUAUUUUUUUAUCAUAUUAGGAAAGACAUCAACAAAAUCUCCAGAUAGCUCACAGUCAUAAGAGUUUCUACAUUCAACAAACAUAUUAAAAAUUGUCACUAACCUACGCCAUUAAGCUACAACUUAUCUUAAUAUGGAAUUCUUAAAACUACAAGCCUGUGAUCUGUGAGUUUAAAAGCAACGGUCUUUGAGGCGCUACCGUCAUCAAAG
rnacentral:lncRNA from 1 species